rnacentral:rRNA from 1 species
ACAGCAGCCGCCGCGGGAAUACGUAGGUGGCAAGCGUUGUCCGGAAUUAUUGGGCGUAAAGCGCGCGCAGGCGGAUAGGUCAGUCUGUCUUAAAAGUUCGGGGCUUAACCCCGUGAUGGGAUGGAAACUGCCAAUCUAGAGUAUCGGAGAGGAAAGUGGAAUUCCUAGUGUAGCGGUGAAAUGCGUAGAUAUUAGGAAGAACACCAGUGGCGAAGGCGACUUUCUGGACGAAAACUGACGCUGAGGCGCGAAAGCCAGGGGAGCAAACAGGAUUAGAUACCCCCGUAGUCCCUGUCUCUUAUACA